UGCUCACAGUGGCAACACGUAUACAGCCAAAACUGAAAUAAUCCAGAGAAGAUCAGUAUGUCCCACAUUCACGGAUGAAGUGCAAUUUUGUGA
rnacentral:snRNA from 1 species